rnacentral:rRNA from 1 species
UCGGUUGACAGGUGGUGCAUGGUUGUCGUCAGCUCGUGUCGUGAGAUGUUGGGUUAAGUCCCGCAACGAGCGCAACCCCUAUUGUUAGUUGCCAUCAUUCAGUUGGGCACUCUAGCGAGACUGCCGGUAAUAAACCGGAGGAAGGUGGGGAUGACGUCAAAUCAUCAUGCCCCUUAUGACCUGGGCUACACACGUGCUACAAUGGUUGGUACAACAAGUUGCGAGUCGGUGACGGCGAGCUAAUCUCUUAAAGCCAAUCUCAGUUCGGAUUGUAGGCUGCAACUCGCCUACAUGAAGUCGGAAUCGCUAGUAAUCGCGGAUCAGCACGCCGCGGUGAAUACCGGUUCCCGGGCCUU